GAUGGACGCUGGCUACAGGCUUAACACAUGCAAGUCGAGGGGAAACGACGGGGAAGCUUGCUUCCCCGGGCGUCGACCGGCGCACGGGUGAGUAACGCGUAUCCAACCUGCCUCUGACUGAGGGAUAACCCGUCGAAAGUCGGCCUAAUACCUCAUGGUAUCGUCUGCGGGCAUCCAACGACGAUUAAAGAUUUCAUCGGUCAGGGAUGGGGAUGCGUCUGAUUAGCUUGUUGGCGGGGUAACGGCCCACCAAGGCUACGAUCAGUAGGGGUUCUGAGAGGAAGGUCCCCCACAUUGGAACUGAGACACGGUCCAAACUCCUACGAGAGGCAGCAGUGAGGAAUAUUGGUCAAUGGGCGAGAGCCUGAACCAGCCAAGUAGCGUGCAGGAAGACGGCCCUAUGGGUUGUAAACUGCUUUUAUGCGGGGAUAAAGUGAGGGACGUGUCCCUCAUUGCAGGUACCGCAUGAAUAAGGACCGGCUAAUUCCGUG
rnacentral:rRNA from 1 species